rnacentral:rRNA from 1 species
CCUACGGGUGGCAGCAGUGAGGAAUAUUGGUCAAUGGACGAGAGUCUGAACCAGCCAAGUAGCGUGAAGGAUGACUGCCCUAUGGGUUGUAAACUUCUUUUAUAUGGGAAUAAAAUGUUCCACGUGUGGGAUUUUGUAUGUACCCUAUGAAUAAGGAUCGGCUAACUCCGUGCCAGCAGCCGCGGUAAUACGGAGGAUCCGAGCGUUAUCCGGAUUUAUUGGGUUUAAAGGGAGCGUAGGUUGAUUUUUAAGUCAGUUGUGAAAGUUUGCGGCUCAACCGUAAAAUUGCAGUUGAAACUGGCAGUCUUGAGUACAGUAGAGGUGGGCGGAAUUCGUGGUGUAGCGGUGAAAUGCUUAGAUAUCACGAAGAACUCCGAUUGCGAAGGCAGUUCACUGGACUGCAACUGACACUGAGGCUCGAAAGUGUGGGUAUCAAACAGGAUUAGAUACCCUUGUAGUC